rnacentral:misc_RNA from 1 species
AACGCACAUUGCGCUUCUGGGAAUUCCCUGGGAGCAUGCUUGUUUCAGUGUCUGUGGCACCCCUCCAGUGGUCUCCCACUGGGAGUAUGGGCGUCCGGCGCGCACCUUUGGUUGCGCGCUGGUUGUCUGAAGUGCACCCGUAGGCACGCGGCGGGAACCUUCGUGGAUCCCGGUCUGACCCGCGGUAUGUGGUAUGCCAAUAACAGCCCCUGACGCCUGGUGUGGUGGUGCGUCGCGGACCCGGAAGGGCCUGAGUGCAACCCGCCCCAAGCGCCGUCGUGGGUGGCAGUUUCGCGUCGUGGGAGCUGGACUGGUGAACCGGGAAGUCCUGCGUCUUGGUGUGUCGAGGUCGCGCCCCGUGUGCGGCCCACCCCCCUACAAACACAACCCAACACACCAGACCUGAAAUCAAGUAGGAUUACCCGCUGAAUUUAA